UCUGGUUGAUCCUGCCAGUAGUUAUAUGCUUGUCUCAAAGAUUAAGCCAUGCAUGUCUAAGUACACACGAAUUAAAAGUGAAACCGCAAAAGGCUCAUUAUAUCAGUUAUGGUUCCUUAGAUCGUUAACAGUUACUUGGAUAACUGUGGUAAUUCUAGAGCUAAUACAUGCAAUUAAAACAUGAACCUUAUGGGACAUGUGCUUUUAUUAGGCUAAAACCAAGCGAUCGCAAGAUCGUUAUAUUGGUUGAACUCUAGAUAACAUGCAGAUCGUAUGGUCUUGUACCGACGACAGAUCUUUCAAAUGUCUGCCCUAUCAACUUUGAUGGUAGUAUCUAGGACUACCAUGGUUGCAACGGGUAACGGGGAAUCAGGGUUCGAUUCCGGAGAGGGAGCCUGAGAAACGGCUACCACAUCUAAGGAAGGCAGCAGGCGCGUAAAUUACCCACUCCCAGCUCGGGGAGGUAGUGACGAAAAAUAACAAUACAGGACUCAUAUCCGAGGCCCUGUAAUUGGAAUGAGUACACUUUAAAUCCUUUAACAAGGACCAAUUGGAGGGCAAGUCUGGUGCCAGCAGCCGCGGUAAUUCCAGCUCCAAUAGCGUAUAUUAAAGUUGUUGCGCGUUUAAAACGUUCGUAGUUGAACUUGUGCUUCAUACGGGUAGUACAACUUACAAUUGUGGUUAGUACUAUACCUUUAUGUAUGUAAGCGUAUUACCGGUGGAGUUCUUAUAUGUGAUUAAAUACUUGUAUUUUUUCAUAUGUUCCUCCUAUUUAAAAACCUGCAUUAGUGCUCUUAAACGAGUGUUAUUGUGGGCCGGUACUAUUACUUUGAACAAAUUAGAGUGCUUAAAGCAGGCUUCAAAUGCCUGAAUAUUCUGUGCAUGGGAUAAUGAAAUAAGACCUCUGUUCUGCUUUCAUUGGUUUUCAGAUCAAGAGGUAAUGAUUAAUAGAAGCAGUUUGGGGGCAUUAGUAUUACGACGCGAGAGGUGAAAUUCUUGGACCGUCGUAAGACUAACUUAAGCGAAAGCAUUUGCCAAAGAUGUUUUCAUUAAUCAAGAACGAAAGUUAGAGGUUCGAAGGCGAUCAGAUACCGCCCUAGUUCUAACCAUAAACGAUGCCAGCUAGCAAUUGGUGUAGCUACUUUUAUGGCUCUCUCAGUCGCUUCCCGGGAAACCAAAGCUUUUGGGCUCCGGGGGAAGUAUGGUUGCAAAGCUGAAACUUAAAGGAAUUGACGGAAGGGCACCACCAGGAGUGGAGCCUGCGGCUUAAUUUGACUCAACACGGGAAAACUUACCAGGUCCGAACAUAAGUGUGUAAGACAGAUUGAUAGCUCUUUCUCGAAUCUAUGGGUGGUGUGCAUGGCCGUUCUUAGUUCGUGGAGUGAUUUGUCUGGUUAAUUCCGAUAACGAACGAGACUCAAAUAUAUUAAAUAGAUAUCUUCAGGAUUAUGGUGCUGAAGCUUAUGUAGCCUUCAUUCAUGUUGGCAGUAAAAUGCUUAUUGUGUUUGAAUGUGUUUAUGUAAGUGGAGCCGUACCUGUUGGUUUGUCCCAUUAUAAGGACACUAGCUUCUUAAAUGGACAAAUUGCGUCUAGCAAUAAUGAGAUUGAGCAAUAACAGGUCUGUGAUGCCCUUAGAUGUCCUGGGCUGCACGCGCGCUACAAUGAAAGUAUCAACGUGUAUUUCCUAGACCGAGAGGUCCGGGUAAACCGCUGAACCACUUUCAUGCUUGGGAUUGUGAACUGAAACUGUUCACAUGAACUUGGAAUUCCCAGUAAGUGUGAGUCAUUAACUCGCAUUGAUUACGUCCCUGCCCUUUGUACACACCGCCCGUCGCUACUACCGAUUGAAUUAUUUAGUGAGGUCUCCGGACGUGAUCACUGUGACGCCUUGCGUGUUACGGUUGUUUCGCAAAAGUUGACCGAACUUGAUUAUUUAGAGGAAGUAAAAGUCGUAACAAGGUUUCCGUAGGUGAACCUGCGGAAG
rnacentral:rRNA from 1 species